UCAAACUUGGUCAUUUAGAGGAAGUAAAAGUCGUAACAAGGUCUCCGUUGGUGAACCAGCGGAGGGAUCAUUAAAGAGUUUUCUACAACUCCCAAACCCCUGUGAACAUACCUUUUGUUGCCUCGGCAGGCCUCGCCUACCCUGUAGCGCCCCUACGCUGUAGGGCCUACCCGGGGAGUGCGGGGGACCCUGCCGGUGGCCCGCGAAACUCUGUUUAGCAUUGAAUUCUGAACAUGUAACUAAAUAAGUUAAAACUUUCAACAACGGAUCUCUUGGUUCUGGCAUCGAUGAAGAACGCAGC
rnacentral:misc_RNA from 1 species